rnacentral:rRNA from 1 species
GUCGAGGAUCUUCGGCAAUGGGCGCAAGCCUGACCGAGCGACGCCGCGUGAGCGAUGAAGGCCUUCGGGUCGUAAAGCUCUGUCGGGGGGGAGAAAAGGGUUAAACCUUGAUCGACCCCCGGAGGAAGCACGGGCUAAGUUCGUGCCAGCAGCCGCGGUAAGACGAACCGUGCGAACGUUAUUCGGAAUCACUGGGCUUAAAGGGCGCGUAGGCGGGUCCGGCAGUCAGGGGUGAAAUCCCACGGCCCAACCGUGGAAGUGCCUCUGAUACUUCGGACCUCGAGGGAGGUAGGGGCGUGCGGAACUCAGGGUGGAGCGGUGAAAUGCGUAGAUAUCCUGAGGAACACCGGUGGCGAAAGCGGCGCGCUGGAUCUCUUCUGACGCUGAGGCGCGAAAGCCAGGGGAGCAAACGGGAUUAGAUACCCGUGUAGUCC